ensembl:snoRNA
UGGAUCUGUCAUGACCGCUGGUGCCGUAUGACCGUGGAUCAUGAUUACAGGUCUGGGAGUCUGAGGUCUAC